UACGUAGGGUGCGAGCGUUGUCCGGAAUUAUUGGGCGUAAAGGGCUCGUAGGCGGUUUGUCGCGUCGGGAGUGAAAUCCACUGGCUUAACUGGUGGCUUGCUUUCGAUACGGGCAGACUGGAGGUAUGCAGGGGAGAACGGAAUUCCUGGUGUAGCGGUGAAAUGCGUAGAGAUCGGGAGGAAUACCAGUGGCGAAGGCGGCCGGCUGGGCCACGACCGACACUGAGGUGCGAAAGCGUGGGGAGCGAACCGG
rnacentral:rRNA from 1 species